AGAGUUUGAUCAUGGCUCAGAGUGAACGCUGGCGGCGUGCCUAACACAUGCAAGUCGAACGAGAACGGAUAUAAGUUUACUUAUAUUGUCAGCUAAGUGGCGCACGGGUGAGUAAUAUAUAGUUAAUCUGCCCUGAAGAAGAGAAUAAUUGUUGGAAACGACUUGUAAUGCUCUAUAUGUCUUUAUCACACAAGUGAGCAAGGGAAAUAUUUAUAGCUUCGGGAUGAGACUGUACGGUAUCAGAUAGUUGGUGAGGUAAUGGCUCACCAAGUCUAUGACACCUAACUGGUUUGAGAGGAUGAUCAGUCACACUGGAACUGAGACACGGUCCAGACUCCUACGGGAGGCAGCAGUGGGGAAUAUUGCACAAUGGAGGAAACUCUGAUGCAGCAACGCCGCGUGGAGGAUGACACAUUUCGGUGCGUAAACUCCUUUUAUAUGAGAAGAUAAUGACGGUAUCA
rnacentral:rRNA from 1 species